CCUACGGGUGGCAGCAGUCGAGAAUCAUUCACAAUGGGGGAAACCCUGAUGGUGCGACGCCGCGUGGGGGAAUGAAGGUCUUCGGUUUGUAAACCCCUGUCAUGGGGGGGCAAAUAAAAAAGAUAGUACCACAGGAGGAAGAGACGGCUAACUCGGUGCCAGCAGCCGCGGUAAUACAAAGGUCCCAAGCGUGUUUCGGAAUCACGGGGCGUAAGGGGUGCGUAGGCGGUUUCGUAAGUCGUGUGUGAAAGGCUCGGGCGCAACCCGCGGACGGCACAUGAUACUGCGAGACUAGAGUAAUGGAGGGGGAACCGGAAUUCUCGGUGUAGCAGUGAAAUGCGUAGAGAUCGAGAGGAACACUCGUGGCGAAGGCGGGUUCCUGGACAUUAACUGACGCUGAGGCACGAAGGCCAGGGGAGCGAAAGGGAUUAGAUACCCUUGUAGUC
rnacentral:rRNA from 1 species